rnacentral:hammerhead_ribozyme from 1 species
AUCCAGUUGACGAGUCCCAAAUAGGACAAACCGCGCGUCCUAGAU